UACAGGGGGUGCAAACGUUGCUCGGAAUUAUUGGGCGUAAAGCGCACGUAGGCGGUUUGUUAUGUCGGAUGUGAAAGCCCUUGGCUCAACUGAGGAAGUGCAUCCGAAACUGGCAAGCUAGAGUAUGUAAGAGGGUCGCGGAAUUCCCGGUGUAGAGGUGAAAUUCGUAGAUAUCAAGCGGAACACCGGUGGCGAAGGCGGCCUUCUGGACAGUGACUGACGCUGAGACGCGAAAGCGUGGGGAGCAAACAGG
rnacentral:rRNA from 1 species